UUGAAGUAUCUAGCGUGAGCUGAUAUGGAGCUUCCAUAAGCACAGAUCUUAGUGGUAGUAGCAAAUAUUCGAAUGAGAUCUUGGAUGGCUGAAGUGGAGAA
rnacentral:ncRNA from 1 species